CUGGAAUGGCGUUAACUUGCAUCAGAUGCUACAGCUAUGGUCAGAAUAAUGAAAAUGUUCAAAUAUCCUCUGCUCGUGGGCAUGGUCGCUUGUAUGGAAAUAGUCCUUUGCGCUGCAGUCAUUUCAUUGCAACAUAAUGACAGUCUCAGUGUAUCAACUGCUGUGUCCCAAGUACUGAAUCACCAGUUAGCAUUAGAGAAGUCCAUGUGUUCACUUUAUAUAUUCAUAAAAGAUAUGGAUGGACAAGAUAUUACAGAUGAGGUAGCACUCAACUUGCAUGUCGGUCACGUCCACAGACAGAGUAGCAGCUUCCACAAGCACAGCAUGGAGGGACAACCUUGGAGUCAUCCACCUUUGGUCCUCGCCCUACACAUCUCAAAGGCUGCUCACAACAGGCAAGCAACUCGGUGCAGUCUGAAGAACUACAGCCCAGCAAGAGCAACAAAAAACAGCUGCCUCCUUUGCAGCUCAAGAACUUCAGUUCCUGAACUUUGUUAAAAGGAUAACUUUCCUUAAUGCUACAUUAAAAGAACAAUGAGCAACUGUAACAAAAUAAAGAUUUAUUUUACUUGCUACAAAUGUGAAAUAUCUGGACAUAAUAUCAUCAUUACAAAAGGAAUUAAAGGAGGUUAAAAAUAACAAGCAUACAAUUGAUUCCAAUACUUUGAACAGAUAUUUCUCACAACCACAAAUUGAUGCCCUUUUAACAUCAAAACUUGUAAAAUGCUGGCAAAUUGAUGUCAUCGAGAAAACUGUUACACUGCGGACUUCAAGUCCGAAGGCGUAUCGCUUUCUUCGAAAGAAAUGGCUGCCUCUUUUGUCCUCCCCCAGCAACAGUCAGUCGAUGGGUUUCAAAACUUUAUGUGGAGCCAUGUGUAUUGCAUACUGUCGUCAGCCUCCUUGACCUCAUAAGGAACAACUUUUUAGAUCAUGGGUUCAGUUUACAUAGUAAUUCUCAAAAAAAAAAAAAAACUGUCACGAAUGGCAGUGUGCGAUAAAUUAUUAUGAGAAAAGGUCGUGAUCAACAAAUCAUCAAUUGUCUUAUAAUCAUAUAGAUGUUCGAGGUUCAAAGAGAAUGAGCGUUCGUCGUGCUGCACAGCUUUCGCCAGAAACCACUGCAAAAUUAGUUAAAUUCUUUAGAGAACAAGGAGUGUUGACGAGG